rnacentral:rRNA from 1 species
UAACUACUGGAAACGGUGGCUAAUACCGCAUAACGUCGCAAGACCAAAGAGGGGGACCUUCGGGCCUCUUGCCAUCAGAUGUGCCCAGAUGGGAUUAGCUUGUUGGUGAGGUAACGGCUCACCAAGGCGACGAUCCCUAGCUGGUCUGAGAGGAUGACCAGCCACACUGGAACUGAGACACGGUCCAGACUCCUACGGGAGGCAGCAGUGGGGAAUAUUGCACAAUGGGCGCAAGCCUGAUGCAGCCAUGCCGCGUGUAUGAAGAAGGCCUUCGGGUUGUAAAGUACUUUCAGCGGGGAGGAAGGUGUUGUGGUUAAUAACCGCAGCAAUUGACGUUACCCGCAGAAGAAGCACCGGCUAACUCCGUGCCAGCAGCCGCGGUAAUACGGAGGGUGCAAGCGUUAAUCGGAAUUACUGGGCGUAAAGCGCACGCAGGCGGUCUGUCAAGUCGGAUGUGAAAUCCCCGGGCUCAACCUGGGAACUGCAUUCGAAACUGGCAGGCUUGAGUCUUGUAGAGGGGGGUAGAAUUCCAGGUGUAGCGGUGAAAUGCGUAGAGAUCUGGAGGAAUACCGGUGGCGAAGGCGGCCCCCUGGACAAAGACUGACGCUCAGGUGCGAAAGCGUGGGGAGCAAACAGGAUUAGAUACCCUGGUAGUCCACGCCGUAAACGAUGUCUACUUGGAGGUUGUGCCCUUGAGGCGUGGCUUCCGGAGCUAACGCGUUAAGUAGACCGCCUGGGGAGUACGGCCGCAAGGUUAAAACUCAAAUGAAUUGACGGGGGCCCGCACAAGCGGUGGAGCAUGUGGUUUAAUUCGAUGCAACGCGAAGAACCUUACCUGGUCUUGACAUCCACAGAAGAAUCCAGAGAUGGAUUUGUGCCUUCGGGAACUGUGAGACAGGUGCUGCAUGGCUGUCGUCAGCUCGUGUUGUGAAAUGUUGGGUUAAGUCCCGCAACGAGCGCAAC